ACUGCUCUCCCAGCAAAGGCAAGAAUGACAAUGAUGAAUUAAUAUUUUAUUUAUUUUUUAGUUUAACCCACCUGUACUGUGAACGAGGCAAGUUUUAGGUUCAGAUCACCAAUCAUAAAUUACAAUAAAGAGUUGGCAAUGACAUCUGGCUUCUACAGUUAUGCCAAGCUGGCAAAGAAUGCCACUGAAUAUGCUCGAAGGAUGAAUCGACUGAGCAGCCGCAUUUUUGGCGAGAUGGUGCCUACAGCUAACUCCCAAAGGUCAAUCAAAGUUAUGCAGCUGCUUUCUGAACAGCCACGGUACAAAGAUCCUCAACUUGUGGACUACUAUCCUCGCUUUCGCGAGACCUACUAUCUAAUGCUCCAUCUGCGAGAACUGGGCCUGUACCGUGACGAGCAUUGGGACUUCAGUGACGAGAUGAAGCGACUGCGUCGGUUGCGUGGCAAGGGACCACCGCCCAAGGGACAAGGAAAGCGGGCUUCCAGGUAGCGGUGAUACGCUUGAUGUAAACUUUUGCAUCUCAGAUGCGAGUGCUUGUUUGUAACAUAAAUGUCUUGUGCGUAUGGAUGCUCGGUAAAUGUAUGCAACCUUUGGUUGUCUUAGCUAAUACAAUGAUUUUUUUUUUGUCCAAGAAGCGGGAACAUUUGCA